rnacentral:rRNA from 1 species
AAAUGAAUAGACGGGGACCCGCACAAGCGGUGGAUGAUGUGGAUUAAUUCGAUGCAACGCGAAAAACCUUACCUACCCUUGACAUGGCAGGAAUCCCGAAGAGAUUUGGGAGUGCUCGCAAGAGAACCUGCACACAGGUGCUGCAUGGCUGUCGUCAGCUCGUGUCGUGAGAUGUUGGGUUAAGUCCCGCAACGAGCGCAACCCUUGUCAUUAGUUGCUACGAAAGGGCACUCUAAUGAGACUGCCGGUGACAAACCGGAGGAAGGUGGGGAUGACGUCAAGUCCUCAUGGCCCUUAUGGGUAGGGCUUCACACGUCAUACAAUGGUACAUACAGAGGGCCGCCAACCCGCGAGGGGGAGCUAAUCCCAGAAAGUGUAUCGUAGUCCGGAUUGUAGUCUGCAACUCGACUACAUGAAGUUGGAAUCGCUAGUAAUCGCGGAUCAGCAUGUCGCGGUGAAUACGUUCCCGGGUCUUGUACACACCGCCCGU